AUUGAACGCUGGCGGCAGGCCUAACACAUGCAAGUCGAACGAGUGGCGGACGGGUGAGUAAUGUCUGGGAAACUGCCUGAUGGAGGGGUAUAACUACUGGAAACGGUAGCUAAUACCGCAUACCAUCAGAUGUGCCCAGAUGGGUUUAGCUAGUAGGUGGGGUAAUGGCUCACCAAGGCGACGAUCCCUAGCUGGUCUGAGAGGAUGACCAGCCACACUGGAACUGAGACACGGUCCAGACUCCUACGGGAGGCAGCAGUGGGGAAUAUUGCACAAUGGGCGCAAGCCUGAUGCAGCCAUGCCGCGUGUGUGAAGAAGGCCUUCGGGUUGUAAAGCACUUUCAGCGGGGAGGCGUUACCCGCAGAAGAAGCACCGGCUAACUCCGUGCCAGCAGCCGCGGUAAUUC
rnacentral:rRNA from 1 species